GACGAACCGAGCAAACGUUAUUCGGAAUCACUGGGCUUAAAGGGCGCGUAGGCGGGCAUCCAAGUCUGUGGUGAAAUCCGGCAGCUUAACUGUCGAACUGCCGUGGAUACUGGGCGUCUCGAGGAAGGUAGGGGCGUGCGGAACUAUUGGUGGAGCGGUGAAAUGCGUUGAUAUCAAUAGGAACUCCGGUGGCGAAGGCGGUUCUCUGGGACGGUACUGACGCUGAGACGCGAAAGCGUGGGGAGCGAACAGG
rnacentral:rRNA from 1 species